AUGCCAUGGUUAGGGCAUUUCCGAAUCAAUUCUUUGAAUCUAUCCCAGCUUUCAUAUAAUUAUUCUCCUUCUUUCUACUGGAAAGAUGUGAUUCCAUUCCUUAUUU